AUUGAACGCUGGCGGCAUGCCUUACACAUGCAAGUCGAACGGCAGCACGGGAGCUUGCUCCUGGUGGCGAGUGGCGAACGGGUGAGUAAUGCAUCGGAACGUGCCCUGAAGUGGGGGGAUAACGUAGCGAAAGUUACGCUAAUACCGCAUAUUCUGUGAGCAGGGAAAGCAGGGGGAUCUUCGGACCUUGCGCUUUUGGAGCGGCCGAUGUCGGAUUAGCUAGUUGGUGGGGUAAAGGCCCGACCAAGGCGACGAUCCGUAGCGGGUCUGAGAGGAUGAUCCGCCACACUGGAACUGAGACACGGUCCAGACUCCUACGGGAGGCAGGCAGUGGGAAUUUGAACAAUGGCGCAAGCCUGAUCCAGCCAUGCCGCGUGAGUGAAGAAGGCCU
rnacentral:rRNA from 1 species